AGGGAAGACAGAAAAACUCUAAAAGCAGACAAAAGAACUCAAUGUGCCCUUAUCCCAGAGGAUUUUGAGAAGUUAAUAUUCAACGGAACAUACUCCGGGAAAUACUGAUAUACCACGAUUGAUGUUUGUACUGGCGACUUCAGUGGACACCAUCUGUUUUUUGGUUCUGUCUGCGGAAACAGCCAUUUGGAGAUCCACCCU